UACGUAGGAUGCAAGCGUUAUCCGGAAUUACUGGGCGUAAAGCGUGUGUAGGUGGCGCGUUAAGUUAAAUGUUAAAUCUAUGGGCUCAACUCAUAGGCCGCAUUUAAUACUGGCGUGCUAGAGGAUGGUAGAGGUAAGCGGAAUUAGCGGUGUAGCAGUGAAAUGCGUAGAUAUCGCUAGGAACACCAAUGGCGAAGGCAGCUUACUGGGACAUUCCUGACACUGAGACACGAAAGCGUGGGGAGCGAACGGG
rnacentral:rRNA from 1 species